UGAAAGAAAUACAAAAACACAGUACUGGUUGGUAGUCCAGACGCAUGAUUUCAUGUCAGUAACCUUCCCCCUCCGGGAUGUCCCGUAUUUCUAAUUUUUUA
rfam:Bacillus cereus AH820, complete genome.